GAUGAACGCUGGCGGCGUGCCUAAUACAUGCAAGUCGAGCGAACAGACGAGGAGCUUGCUCCUUUGACGUUAGCGGCGGACGGGUGAGUAACACGUGGGUAACCUACCUAUAAGACUGGGAUAACUUCGGGAAACCGGAGCUAAUACCGGAUAAUAUUUCGAACCGCAUGGUUCGAUAGUGAAAGAUGGCUUUGCUAUCACUUAUAGAUGGACCUGCGCCGUAUUUGCUAGUUGGUAAGGUAACGGCUUACCAAGGCAACGAUACGUAGCCGACCUGAGAGGGUGAUCGGCCACACUGGAACUGAGACACGGUCCAGACUCCUACGGGAGGCAGCAGUAGGGAAUCCUCCGCAAUGGGCGAAAGCCUGACGGAGCAACGCCGCGUGAGUGAUGAAGGUCUUCGGAUCGUAAAACUCUGUUAUUAGGGAAGAACAAACGUGUAAGUAACUGUGCACGUCUUGACGGUACCUAAUCAGAAAGCCACGGCUAACUGCGUG
rnacentral:rRNA from 1 species